rnacentral:rRNA from 1 species
AUUGAACGCUGGCGGAAGGCUUAACACAUGCAAGUCGAGCGAGCGGCGGACGGGUGAAUAAUGUCUGGGAAACUGCAUGAUGGAGGGGGAUAACUACUGGAAACGGUAGCUAAUACCGCAUACCAUCAGAUUUACCCAGAGGGGAUUAGCUGGUAGGGGGGGUACUGGCUAACAUAGGCGACGAUCCCUAGCUGGUCUGAGAGGAUGAACAGCAACACUGGAACUGAGACACGGUCCAGACUCCUACGGGAGGCAGCAGUGGGGAAUAUUGCACAAUGGGCGCAAGCCUGAUGCAGCCAUGCCGCGUGUGUGAAGAAGGCCUUCGGGUUGUAAAGCACUUUCAGCGAGGAGGCGUUACUCGCAGAAGAAGCACCGGCUAACUCCGUGCCAGCAGCCGCGGUAAUAC